rnacentral:lncRNA from 1 species
CUAAUAAUAUAAGAGUAUAUAUGUAACACUCAGAAACGUGUCCUUCCCCCCAAACGUGUCUGAUUCCCCCAAACAUGUCUAGUUGAAAACUGCGCCAAAGCGUGUCAUUUGUAUAAACGCCCAAACGUGUCCAUUUCUCAACUAACCCCCAAACGUGUCCAAUCCCCAAAACGUGUCCAUAUCAAGCGUUAUUUGGUUAUUGCUAUUUCAUUAACGUAUACUAAUUUUAUCAUUUCAUUAAAAAUAUACAUAAGCACGUUAGUACACUACAGAUCGGGUGGAUAUUGCUUUGUCCACCGGCCCGACAUGGGAGUGGGCACCGGGUGGGCAAAAUUUCUACCUUGUCCACUC